rnacentral:rRNA from 1 species
UACGUAGGGGGCUAGCGUUGUCCGGAUUUAUUGGGCGUAAAGAGCGUGUAGGCGGCCAGGUAGGUCUGCUGUGAAAACUCGAGGCUCAACCUCGAGACGUCGGCGGAAACCAUCUGGCUAGAGUCCGGAAGAGGAGAGUGGAAUUCCUGGUGUAGCGGUGAAAUGCGCAGAUAUCAGGAAGAACACCCGUGGCGAAGGCGGCGACCUGGUCCGUGACUGACGCUGAGGCGCGAAAGCGUGGGGAGCAAACAGG